rnacentral:rRNA from 1 species
CUACGGGGGGCACCAGUCAAGAAUCUUCCGCAAUGCGCGAAAGCGUGACGGAGCGACGCCGCGUGCAGGAUGAAGGCCUUCGGGUCGUAAACUGCUUUUCUUAGGGAGGAACUUUGACAGUACCUAAGGAAUAAGGGACUGCUAACUUCGUGCCAGCAGCAGCGGUAAUACGAAGGUCCCAAGCGUUAUCCGGUGUUAUUAGGCGUAAAGCGUCCGCAGGUUGUUUGGCGCAUCUUUGGUCAAAUCCCGAAGCUCAACUUCGGAACUGCCAAAGAGAUGGCCAAACUAGAGGCAGGGAGAGGCAAAUGGAACGGCUGGUGUAGCAGUAAAAUGCGUUAAUAUCAGCCGGAACACCAAAAGCGAAAGCAGUUUGCUGGAACUAGCCUGACACUCAUGGACGAAAGCGUGGGUAGCGAAUGGGAUUAGAUACCCUGGUAGUC